AAUGAACGCUGGCGGCGUGCCUAAUACAUGCAAGUCGAGCGAACGGACGAGAAGCUUGCUUCUCUGAUGUUAGCGGCGGACGGGUGAGUAACACGUGGAUAACCUACCUAUAAGACUGGGAUAACUUCGGGAAACCGGAGCUAAUGCCGGAUAAUAUUUUGAACCGCAUGGUUCAAAAGUGAAAGACGGUCUUGCUGUCACUUAUAGAUGGAUCCGCGCUGCAUUAGCUAGUUGGUAAGGUAACGGCUUACCAAGGCAACGAUGCAUAGCCGACCUGAGAGGGUGAUCGGCCACACUGGAACUGAGACACGGUCCAGACUCCUACGGGAGGCAGCAGUAGGGAAUCUUCCGCAAUGGGCGAAAGCCUGACGGAGCAACGCCGCGUGAGUGAUGAAGGUCUUCGGAUCGUAAAACUCUGUUAUUAGGGAAGAACAUAUGUGUAAGUAACUGUGCACAUCUUGACGGUACCUAAUCAGAAAGCCACGGCUAACUACGUG
rnacentral:rRNA from 1 species